CCUACGGGAGGCAGCAGUGAGGAAUAUUGGUCAAUGGGCGGGAGCCUGAACCAGCCAAGCCGCGUGAGGGAAGAAGGUACAGCGUAUCGUAAACCUCUUUUGUCAGGGAACAAAGGCGGGGACUAGUCCCCGGAUGAGGGUACCUGAAGAAAAAGCAUCGGCUAACUCCGUGCCAGCAGCCGCGGUAAUACGGAGGAUGCGAGCGUUAUCCGGAUUUAUUGGGUUUAAAGGGUGCGCAGGCGGCCUGUUAAGUCAGCGGUAAAAGGCCGGGGCUCAACCCCGGCGAGGCGGUGAAACUGGCGGGCUGGAGUUGGAGAGAAGGGCGCGGAAUGCGCGGGGUAGCGGUGAAAUGCUUAGAUAGCGCGCAGAACCCCGAAUGCGAAGGCAGCGUACCGGCUCCACACUGACGCUGAGGCACGAAAGCGUGGGUAUCGAACAGGAGUAGGUACCCCAGUAGUC
rnacentral:rRNA from 1 species